CAGGCACUUAAAUUUGUGAACAGAUUUCAUGAGGAAAGAUGGACCAAACUCAGCCUCAUUUUGAACAAUGAGCGAUGGAAACAAGCGGACGUCCCAGCAGAAUUCCAAGAGCUCGUUAAUCAUAUCACACAAACAGGCAUGUUAAGUCUACCAGAAAGGACUGGAGAUUCAGAUAAAGGCCCUAUAGAAGUGUUGGUAGUUGAAGAUCAGACAUUUGCGGUUGUAGGGACAGUACUGAUGCUGUUGAAGAUGAUGGUGGAGUAUUGUCAGUGUGUCAAUGACAUUCCGUCAGCGGCACCAGAUCUGUUGUCUAGACUGGUAGACCUCUUCAAA